AUUGAACGCUGGCGGCAGGCCUAACACAUGCAAGUCGAGCGGAUGAAGGGAGCUUGCUCCUGGAUUCAGCGGCGGACGGGUGAGUAAUGCCUAGGAAUCUGCCUGGUAGUGGGGGAUAACGUCCGGAAACGGGCGCUAAUGCCGCAUACGUCCUGAGGGAGAAAGUGGGGGAUCUUCGGACCUCACGCUAUCAGAUGAGCCUAGGUCGGAUUAGCUAGUUGGUGGGGUAAAGGCCUACCAAGGCGACGAUCCGUAACUGGUCUGAGAGGAUGAUCAGUCACACUGGAACUGAGACACGGUCCAGACUCCUACGGGAGGCAGCAGCGGGGAAUAUUGGACAAUGGGCGAAAGCCUGAUCCAGCCAUGCCGCGUGUGUGAAGAAGGUCUUCGGAUUGUAAAGCACUUUAAGUUGGGAGGAAGGGCAGUAAGUUAAUACCUUGCUGUUUUGACGUUACCAACAGAAUAAGCACCGGCUAACUUCGUG
rnacentral:rRNA from 1 species